UACGUAGGGUGCAGGCGUUAAUCGGAAUUACUGGGCGUAAAGCGUCCGCAGGUGGCAAUGUAAGUCUGCUGUUAAAGAGUCUAGCUCAACUAGAUAAAAGCAGUGGAAACUACAUAGCUAGAGUACGUUCGGGGCAGAGGGAAUUCCUGGUGUAGCGGUGAAAUGCGUAGAGAUCAGGAAGAACACCGGUGGCGAAGGCGCUCUGCUAGGCCGUAACUGACACUGAGGGACGAAAGCUAGGGGAGCGAAUGGG
rnacentral:rRNA from 1 species